rnacentral:rRNA from 1 species
GACAGAGGGUGCAAACGUUGUUCGGAAUUACUGGGCGUAAAGCGCGUGUAGGCGGCAGUGCAAGUCGGAUGUGAAAUCCCAUGGCUCAACCAUGGAAGUGCACCCGAAACUGCGUCGCUAGAGUCCUGGAGAGGAAGGUGGAAUGCUUGGUGUAGAGGUGAAAUUCGUAGAUAUCAAGCGGAACACCGGUGGCGAAGGCGGCCUUCUGGACAGUGACUGACGCUGAGACGCGAAAGCGUGGGGAGCAAACAGG